rnacentral:siRNA from 1 species
AGGUCAUGUUGUUCUUUGCGUUGC